GGUCCGCUAGUGUAACUGGUAAUACGCCUGGUCUGUGAAACCUGGGGGAUCAGUAAACCGCCGGUUCGAAUCCGGCGCGGGUCA
rnacentral:tRNA from 1 species